UCCUACCGGACGUUCCACGGGCACUUCCAUCUCUAUAAUUUUAAAAGAGAAAACCAGCACUCACUAAAUUUAUUUCUUACUGAAGAGACGUAAUUUUCUCUUCAGUUCAUAUCAAUUGCGGGUCUUUGGACUCGGUCGUGAAAACUAAUUCAACCAAGUGCGCUUGUGUCUUUUCCGGGAAAAAUCCCGUAUUCGCCAAGAGCAGAUUUUCUCUCCAACCAUUGCGAUAGGGAAAUGAAAAGAGCUGUUGCACACUCCAAUAAUAGAGACUCCACUUUCUCAAUCGAAGAAAGCAAAGUCAAUAAUUUGAAAUCGAUGGGAACUUGUUAUGAAUGGAAGCGUAAGGCAAGAUCAAAAGUCAAGGGAGCUUGCACCGUUGAAUUACUAAGACGGCGGUUCCCCAUUCUCAAGUGGUUACCAAGCUACAAUUGGGAUUUUGCUGUCUAUGAUGUCAUUGCCGGAAUUACCGUCGGUCUCACCACCAUUCCUUAGGGAAUCGCCUAUGCUGCUGUCGCCGGACUGCCGUUACAGUAUAUUCGUAGUAAGGGCUCUUCUCGGCUUUCCUGGGAUUAUUCGUCUUUGUAAUUUUGGGGACUUCCAAGGAAUGUUCAAUCGGUCCCACGGCCGUCAUAUCUUUGAUGACGUUCUCGUACGCCAGUGAUGAAGGAGGCCCGAUCUAUUCCAGCACCCUGUUAGCUUUCCUAGCUGGUUCGCUAGAACUAGUAGCAGGACUCUUGAACCUAGGAUUCAUGGUCGAGUUUAUUUCGGCUCCUGUCAUUUCUUGCUUUUGUUCAGCUGCCGCUCUGACUGUAUCGUCGACUCAAGUAAAGGGCCUCUUCGGCUUGAAAUGCAAAGGAUCCUCGUUUAUCGAAAUUUGGCGAGGUUUUUUCGAAAACAUAACG